GACGAACGCUGGCGGCGUGCUUAACACAUGCAAGUCGAACGGAAAGGCCCUGCUUGCAGGGUACUCGAGUGGCGAACGGGUGAGUAACACGUGGGUGCUCUGCCCUGCACUUCGGGAUAAGCCUGGGAAACUGGGUCUAAUACCGGAUAGGAGCCAUUUUUAGUGUGAUGGUUGGAAAGUUUUUUCGGUGUAGGAUGAGCUCGCGGCCUAUCAGCUUGUUGGUGGGGUAAUGGCCUACCAAGGCGGCGACGGGUAGCCGGCCUGAGAGGGUGGACGGCCACAUUGGGACUGAGAUACGGCCCAGACUCCUACGGGAGGCAGCAGUGGGGAAUAUUGCACAAUGGGCGCAAGCCUGAUGCAGCGACGCCGCGUGGGGGAUGACGGCCUUCGGGUUGUAAACUCCUUUCGCUAGGGACGAAGCUUUUUGUGACGGUACCUAGAUAAGAAGCACCGGCUAACUACGUG
rnacentral:rRNA from 1 species